rnacentral:ncRNA from 2 species
AGCCGCGGUAAUUCCAGCUCCAAUAGCGUAUAUUAAAGUUGUUGCAGUUAAAAAGCUCGUAGUUGAAUUUCGGGAUUGGCGCAUCGGUCGUGCCUCACGGGGUAUGAACUGGUGCAGUCAAUUUCUCACCUUCUGGAGAACCGCGAUGUCCUUAAUUGGAUGCCGCGGGGAACCAGGACCUUUACUUUGAAAAAAUUAGAGUGUUUAAAGCAGGCAUUUUUGCUUGAAUACAUUAGCAUGGAAUAAUAAAAUAGGACGGCAUGGUUCUAUUUUGUUGGUUUCUAGGACCACCGUAAUGAUUAAUAGGGAUAGUUGGGGGCAUUAGUAUUCAAUUGUCAGAGGUGAAAUUCUUGGAUUUAUUGAAGACUAACUACUGCGAAAGCAUUUGCCAAGGAUGUUUUCAUUAAUCAAGAACGAAAGUUAGGGGAUCGAAGACGAUCAGAUACCGUCGUAGUCUUAACCAUAAACUAUGCCGACUAGGAAUCAGACGAUGUUAAUUUUUUAAUGACUCGUUUGGCACCUUACG